UCUGUAGAUACUGGCCAUUGGAAUGCUGUGGAGAGAGAUUCUGUAGACUCUGGCCAUUGGAACGCUGUGGAGAGAGAUUCUGUAGACUCUGGCCAUUGGAACGCUGUGGAGAGAGAUUCUGUAGAUACUGGCCAUUGGAACGCUGUGGAGAGAGAUUCUGUAGACUCUGGCCAUUGGAACGCUGUGGAGAGACACAGACAAAGACAUUCCGGAACACUUUAAUCUCUGUUCUAGAAUAGCAUUUGAAAUUCUUAUCAAAUGUCUUAUCUCCACAGUUUUGUCAGCACUUUACCUGUUAGUGUUGAUUGUUAUAUUUAGUCAGGGCUAUGGAGCACUUUUUUUUCUCUCAAUCAGUGAAUAAUGUACUGUCGUGUUUAUGAAGUAGUUUUAAAUGUACUUUAUUUAUAUAUAUAUAUAUUACGUGGACAGCUGGCAUGAUGUAUCUGUAUUUGUUUUCUUCAACGAAAUGCAUGACUGACUGCUGAUAGAAACAUACAUAUGUUUAUUGGAAAGAGAAAAGGAAAGGAAAAAGACAAAGCAUGUAUUAACAACUAAACUUCUAUUGAAAUAACUUUAUAACUGUAUAAAUGAGAACAAGAAGAACAGCUGGAUUUUUAGUCCUAUUGAGCUAUUGGAAAUUUCGCUAAUUGAUAUUUUGUGAUUGACAUGUUUGGGAACUUGUAUGAGGUUGUAUGGGUCCUAUAAAUAUAUAUAUUGAGUAGCUCGUAGCUAACACCAUUUUCACAGCAGAACUUGAGAAGUUUGAAAAGAGGAAGAGUAUGAAUGUAUAAAUAGUACCAGUCAAAAGUCAAAAGUGUGUGCAAAGCUUCCAUCAAGGCAAAGGGUGGCUACUUUGAAGAAUCUCAAAUAUAAAAAAAUAUAUAUAUUUUGAUUUGUUUAACACUUUUUUGGGUUGCUACAUGAUUCCCGUAUGUGUUAUUUCAUAGUUUUGAUGUCUUAAAUAUUAUUAUACAAUGUAGAAAAUAAAAAUUCUGCAAUGAGUAGGUGUGUCCAAACUGUUGACUGGUACUAUAUGUGUACCCUAAUAUAAAGAGACUGUACCUUUUCAUAAGUAUAUAAGGUGUUUUCUCAGUGCGUCCAAAUGGAUGACAUUAUUGGAACCAAAAGGGAACAAGGCAGUGUUGACAUAUUGCUUUUCUCCAAAAGUAUAGUAGUAGUAGUGUGAUUUGUCUUUGAGAUGAUAUAUAUUGCUUGAACUAUGUGAUGUUUAUUAAUUCAAAGGUCAGAAAGAAGGGUUUGCGAAAUGUUUAUUAAUUCAAAGGUCAGAAAGAAGGGCCAAAGGUCAUAUGUCAGCUAUUGAAGAAUGUGUAGUUAUUUGUUAUUAGGGACACCUGUAAAUUCUACUUCACUCGAGUUGUGGCACAAUUACCUGUUAGUAGAAAACCCAAGCAUUGAUAUAUGCUGAGUUGCAGAUGUGGUCAGGCAUUGUUACGUUGGUUCACUUUACUUUACAGUCCACCUGGUAUAUUCUUACGUUUACAUGGCCAACCGUUGGGUUUCUUUGGUACCAGUAACACCAAUGUUUUGAAUAUUAUUUAUUAAGUACCAUGCAGAAAAACUGGCUUAACUGAAAGCACCAAGACUGUUAAAGUGAAGAAACAAGACUGUAAAGUUAAACAACAUAACUGUAAAGUAAAGCAACAAGACUGUAAAGUAAAGCAACAUGACUGUAAAGUGAAGCAACAGGACUGUAAAGUAAAGCAACAGGACUGUAAAGUAAAGCAUACAGACUGUAAAGUGAAGCAACAUGACUGUUAGGUUAAACAACAGGACUGUCAAGUAUAGAAACAGGACUGUUAAAGGAAAGCACCAAAACUGUUAAAGUGAACCAACAGGACUGUUAAGUAAAGCAACAGGAUUGUAAAAUGAAGCAACAGGACUCUAAGGCAAAGCAACAGAACUGUUAGGUGAAACAACAGGAUUGUAAAGGGAAGCAACAGGACUGUAAAGUAAAGCAACAGGACUGUUAAGUUAAGCAACAGGACUGUAAAGUAAAACUACAGGACUGUACAGUAAAGCAACAGGACUGUAAAGUAAAACUACAGGACUGUAAAGUAAAACUACAGGCCUGUAAAGUAAAGCAACAGGACUGUAAAGUAAAACUACAGGACUGUAAAGUAAAGCAACAGGACUGUAAAGUAAAACUACAGGACUGUAAAGUAAAACUACAGGACUGUAAAGUAAAGCAACAGGACUGUAAAGUAAAACUACAGGACUGUAAAGUAAAACUACAGGCCUGUAAAGUAAAGCAACAGGACUGUAAAGUAAAACUACAGGACUGUAAAGUAAAGCAAACAGGACUGUAAAGUAAAACUACAGGACUGUAAAGUAAAGCAACAGGACUGUAAAGUAAAACUACAGGACUGUAAAGUAAAACUACAGGACUAUAAAGUAAAGCAACAGGACUGUUAAAGGAAAGAGUUUUAUGUAUCAGGUCGAGCAGCUCUGCUGAAAGGGGAUGAUGGCCUUUGUGAGUGAGUUGAGCUGGGUGAGGUCAUGACGCUGAGUCCUCGUCAGAAGGAUGACCCUAGCACACCCCCUAGAUGGAUUGAUGGGGAGUAGGGUGAAGUUUCCCCUAGACACUGAUCUUGGUUCAGUUUUGCAUUUCCCCCCACUAAUGGUUAAGGUUAGGUUUAGGGGAUGGGAAGCUUAUCCUAGAUCUGUACCCAGGGGAAUCUUCACAAGCAUGUUUGUAAGUGUGUGAGAGACAUAGAAGAGAGGCUGACAAUCAGAAAGGGGAAAAAGUGGAUGGAAUUACAGGUAGUUUGCUUGUAUUUUCUUGCGUGGCUGGCAUGUGACGGAAUGUUGAUGCACCUGAGCAGGGAGGUGGAAUGAACUGGGUAUAUUGACUAUUCGCAGCUAUGCUUUGUCAAUGUUGAAGAGCCAGAUAUGUUCUCCUGCAUCUGUUUAGCCACAGCUUUAAGAUACUACACAGUGAAGUGGUGAAUGUAUCCUCAUACACUGACGAUGUCUCCUAUCGUGGUUAAAUAAGAGCCAUUUUUAUAGAGAUUAUUUCAUUGUUUCGUUUUGUUUUUGUUUUUUGCUUGAAAUGUAACCGUCCACGAGCUUGCUCUCUUCUAGAAUGUUCACUUAGACAUGUUCUAGAACUUUUCUCAGUGUUCUGAGAGACUGGUUUAUUAACGUCUGAAACCAACUACAAAUGUAUUGUCUUUUAAUGAGUAUUAUACUGCCAUUUUAUUUUUGUAAUGAGGGGAGAAAAGUAAUUUUAGAUGAACGAGUUAUGGAGCCAUGACUGCAAGGUGAUGAUGGGGAAAUGUGUAUUUAUAUUCUCGUAAAAAAAUGAGGGCUUUGUCCAGUUUACAGUGGCCUUAUUUUAUUUAGGAGACGUUACUCUACUGUUGUAGCACUGGUACACGGUUGAAACAAACACCGUUUUUUUUUUUUUUUAAGUAAACAAAACAAGUAUUUUUCUUGAAAUACUGUACUGAAGUAUCUCUCUGUAAAUGUAUAGUUUUCUGAACGUAUUUAUUCAUCAUUACACUAUAUUGAAGUGUAGCUGUUUGUUGUUUGCUUGGUACUGUUUCACUGCAGUCUUUUCUCCUGGCUGACUCACCUGUAUUGGUUCAGUCGCUGUUAUACUGUAUCUUCGGUUAUUUAUUUUAAAGAAUAGGCUCUGUGGUUGACCUUUAAACUAGGCAUGAAUAAGACAUAUGAUGUGGGGAAAUGUAUUGAUUUAUUUAAUGUUGAAUUUAGACGUUAUCUGAUCCACUGAAUUAACACUUUUUUUUUCAAAAUCAAGCUAAAUUUACCAUUUUAUUUAUGAAGUUGAUAUUAAGUGUAAAUUUAAUACACAUUUGUACUUUAGUAAUCCUUACAAUAUUUACCGCAUGGUUACUUUGAAGAAUGUAUUGUAUUUAAUGAUAUAACGACAUGACGACGAUAAUGAUGAUUUAAUGAGUUUAGAAAUACAGAGCCUUCAGAGAGUAUUCAUAGCCGUUGACGUAGUCUACAUUUUGUAGUGUUACAGCCUGAAUAAAUAUUUUUUUCUGUCACCCAUCGACACACAAUAUCUUACAAUGGCAAAGUGAAAACAUGUCUUUACAAAUGUUAUCAAAUUUAUUAAAAAUUAAAUACAGAAAUAUCACAUUUACAUAAGUAUUCACAAACCCCUGAGUCAAUGCAUGUUAGAAUCACCGUUGACAGCGAUUACAGUUGUGAGUCAUUCUGGGUAAAUCUCUAAGAGUUUUCCACACCUGGAUUGUACAAUGUUUUUUAAUUAUUUUUUUAUUUUUUUAUUAUUCAAACUCUGUCAAGUUGGUUGUUGAUCAUUGCUAGACGGCCAUUUUCAAGUCUUGACAUACAUUUUCAUUCCAGUGUAUAUUUGACUUUGUGUUUCAGGUUGUUGUCCUACUGAAAGGUGAAUUUGUCUCCCAGUGUCUGUGCUAGGAUUUUGCCUGUGCUUAGCUCUAGUUUGAAUAUUUUUUAUCCCAAUAGCAACUCCCUAGUCUUUGCCGAUGACAAGCAUAGCAUGACGCAGCCACCACCAUUUUUGAAAAUAUAAAGAGUUGUACUCAGUGACGUGUUGUAUUUGAUUUACCCUAAACAUAAAGUUAAUUUCUUUGCCACAUUUUUUGCAAUCUUACUUUAGUGCCUUAAUAAUGCAAACAUGAUGCAUGUUUUGAAAUAUUUUAUUCUGUUUAGGCUUUCUUCUUUUUCAUUAAGUCAAUAUUGUGGAGUAACUACAAUGUUGUUGAUCCAUCCUCAGUUCUCUCCGAUCACAGCCAUUAAACUCUGUAACUGUUUUAAAGUCACCAUUGACCUCAUGGUGAAAUCCCUGAGUGGUUUCCUUCCUCUCCGGCAACUGAGUUAGGAAGGACGCCUGUAUCUUUGUAGUGACUGGGUGUAUUGAUACACCAUCCAACGUGUAAUUAAAAAGUUCCCCAUGCUCAAAGGGAUAUUGAAUGUCUGCAGUUAGUUUUUUUUACCCAUCAACCAAUAGGUGCCCUGCUUUGCGAGGCAUUGGAAAACCUCCCUGGUCUUUGUGGUUGAAUCUGUGUUUGAAAUUCACUGCUCGACUGAGGGACUUUACAGAUAAUUGUAUGUGUGGGGGUACAGAAAUGAAGUAUUCAUAUAAAAAUCAUGUUUAACACUAUUAUUGCCAACAGAGUGAGUCCAUGCAACUUAUUAUGUGACUUGUUAAGCACAUUUUUACUCCUGAACUUAUUUAGGCUUGCCAUAACAAAGGGGUCGAAUACUUAUUGACUCAAGAUUGGCUUUUAAUUGUUUAUUAAUUUGUAAAAAUGUCUAAAAACUUAAUUCCACUUUGACAUUAUGGGAUAUUGUGUGUAGGCCAGUGAGAACAAAAUAAAUUCAGGCUGUAACGCAACAAAAUAUAAGAAAAGUCAAGGGGUGUGAAUACUUUCUGAAGGCUCUCAGCACUGUAUCAUGGGAAAUCUGUGAAUUGCAAGAAAUAUGAACAAUUGUAUUUAACGUAGCAUUAAUUUAGUCUUCCAUCCUACUGAUAUAGAGUUCUUCUUCUGGCAAUAAUAAUGUAUCUUCUUGUGUCAGAGGACUUAGCUAUGUCUGUUAGACCUUGACUAGUAGGGCUGGCCUAGAUACCUCUGACUGUUUUCUAUUCCGAUGACAACAAACAUCACUACAGAGUUUGAACUGCAGGGUCACCCUGGAGUGCCGGGCACUCCUUUCACAAGUCAGAACAAUGCCAUACAUGUUGAACAUUUUAAACGUAGACGCUGCCAUAGUGUUGAAGAACAAAACAUUGGGCGGCAGGGUAGCCUAGUGGUUAGAGCGUUGGGCUAGUAACCGUAAAAAAGGUUGCAAGUUCAAAUCCCUGAGCUGAUAAGGUACAAAUCUGUCGUUCUUCCCCCUGAACAAGGCAGUUAACCCACUGUUCCUGGUAGGCGGUCAUUGAAAAAUAAGAAUUUGUUCUUAACUGACUUGCCUAGUUAAAUAAAGGUAAAAAUAAAACAUUGGUCUAGCCCAUUAUUGAGAGUACUCUACAAGUACCACUAGGCAGUAUUUAAAUCCAACUCUGAUAACGUCUAGUUCAGCAGAAAUCAUAUCAAAUUUGACAAACUGUUUUCAGAGCUUAGCUCCAUUGACUCACUCAAUGCAUUUAGGACAAAGAACAUUUUACGAUGAACCCCACACUUUUCCACGAGAAAAGAAAAUCAAAGAAACAAAGCAGUGUUAACGUAGCAACCGUCAUCAACGAUAAGAAUAUUGUGUGUUUUUUUUUCUCUCUCUCUCUCUCUAAUUUUACUACUGCUGCUGUAAAUGCUGUUUGUCAACAUUGUCAAAUGUUCUAAUCGUCGUUUAAUCACAGCACAAGUUCCUGAGCAGCCAUUUUGUCUUUACACUUCUGACUGUCUGUCACAAAACACAGAUGAGAAUCUCCCAAAGCCAUGUUGUAGACCACAGUAGCUAAUCCCCUUAAAGACAGCCUUCAUAUUAACAUCCCCAGCCAGGAAACCUCCUCUCAAACGGGCAGCAAUGUAAUGAGGUAACGUUGUAGAAUUAUUUUAUUUUUUUAAUUUUUAAUUUUUUUAAGUUACAGCAACGUUAAUGUUUCUGAUAAUAUUUUGGGUCAUUUCGAUUAUCUAGAUUAAAAUGCUUCAGCCACACUUAUUCACACACAUAAAUGUAAGUUGCCCUGCUAUCAACUGUAAAGGUAGAUCCUUAGGGAACAUGCUGUGGCUUGAUCAAUGAGGCUUUUGACCAAUAGCGUGGGGGGGUUAAAGGCUCAUUGGGGGUCUAAGGUUGGUAUUUGCAGAACUGCCUUUACUUAUUGGUUUGGACUAUCUUCUAGACUCCAUGAGACAUUCAAAUACAGAGUUUGAAAGAGCGAAGUGUAGCAGUUUGUCUGAUUGAAGGAUGGCAAAGACAAGGAGCUGUAAUUUUAUACCUGUGCUUUGUAAAUGUUUUCUAUGUGCAGUAUUUGAUAAUGUAAAACUGGUAUUUUUGUGGUUUGUAUGCUACAUAAUUGAUUACUUAGGGUGCACGUAGUUUUGUAAGAAAAUAGUACCAAAUGAAUGAAAAACAUACAACAGCAACAAAAAAGUUUCACGUUUUUUCGGGUUCAGAAGCCUGUAUUUGCCCCUUUACCGUCUGGACGUAAAGUCAAUAAAGUUUGAUUCGAAUCACCAAUUUGUUUGCCCAUGAUGUCAUUGUGUAACUGAUUUCAACUUUGUCACUUUUGGGGACAACUUUCAGGACGUAU
rnacentral:lncRNA from 1 species